rnacentral:rRNA from 1 species
AAAGAGAAGGCCGUGAGACUGGAUCCAGAGUACCGCUGGACACGUGAAACCCGGUGGGAAACAGGGGGGACCACCCUCCAAGCCUAAAUACUACCUGAUGACCGAUAGAGGAGCAGUACCGUGAGGGAAAGGUGAAAAGGACCCCGGGAGGGGAGUGAAAGAGAACCUGAAACCUUGUGCUUACAAGCUGUCAAAGCACGUUAAUGUGUGAUGGCGUACUUUUUGUAGAACGGUCCGGCGAGUUAUAGUAACGAGCGAGCUUAAGGUAUUCAGUACCGGAGGCGAAGCGAGAGCGAGUCUGAAUAGGGCGUAAAGUUCGUUGCCAUAGACCCGAAACCGGGUGACCUACCCAUGAGCAGGUUGAAGUGGGGGUGAAACCCCAUGGAGGACCGAACCGACCCCCGUUGCAAUGGUGGCGGAUGACUUGUGGGUAGCGGUGAAAUUCCAAUCGAACUCGGAGAUAGCUGGUUCUCCCCGAAAUAGCUUUAGGGCUAGCGUUAUGUUAGAUUACCGGAGGUAAAGCACUGAAUGGUAGCGGGGCCGAUAAGGUUACCAACGCCUAUCAAACUAAGAAUGCCGGCUAAUUGAUGCAUAGCAGUCAGACAGUGUGAGAUAAGUUUCAUUGUCAAAAGGGAAACAGCCCAGACCUACAGCUAAGGUCCCGAAUAGAUGCUAAGUGGAAAACGAUGUGGAGUUGCGAAAACAACCAGGAUGUUGGCUUAGAAGCAGCCACUCAUUAAAAGAGUGCGUAAUAGCUCACUGGUCGAGUGACUCUGCGCGGAAAAUGUAACGGGGCUAAGCAUCUAACCGAAGCUUAGGAUUGUCGUAAGACAGUGGUAGGGGAGCGUUCCAUGUGGGGUGAAGUCGCAGCGGAAGCAGCGGUGGACUGCAUGGAAGUGAGAAUGCCGGAAUGAGUAGCGAGAAUUAUGUGGGAAUCAUAAUGGCCGAAAAUCUAAGGUUUCUUGGGGAAGGUUCGUCCGCCCAAGGUAAGCCGGGAGCUAAGGCGAGGCCGAAAGGCGUAGUCGAUGCACAUACGGUAGAAAUUCCGUAGCCACCGAACUUUAAGUCAGAGGGACACUUUUGGAUAGCGGAACCCGGGCGUUGGUUGACCCGGGCGAAAGGGAGCGAAAAUAUAGUAGCGAAGUCCGCGAUGCUGAGAGGCGAGAAAAGCUCUGAUGGAUACUAAGGUGCCCGUACCGCAAACCGACACAGGUAGAUGAGGAGAGAAUCCUAAGGCCAACGGGAGAAGGGUUGUUAAGGAACUCGGCAAGUUGACCCCGUAACUUCGGAAUAAGGGGAGCCUCGCAAGAGGCCGCAGUGAAAAGGCCCAAGCAACUGUUUACCAAAAACACAGGUCUAUGCUAAAUCGAAAGAUGACGUAUAUGGGCUGACGCCUGCCCGGUGCCGGAAGGUUAAGAGGAGAUGUCAGCGCAAGCGAAGCAUUGAAUUGAAGCCCCGGUAAACGGCGGCCGUAACUAUAACGGUCCUAAGGUAGCGAAAUUCCUUGUCAGGUAAGUUCUGACCCGCACGAAAGGCGUAAUGAUUUGGGCACUGUCUCAACAGCCCGCCCGGCGAAAUUGUAGUACUGGU